rnacentral:rRNA from 1 species
GACGGAGGGUGCAAACGUUGUUCGGAAUCACUGGGCGUAAAGGGCGCGUAGGCGGACUUGUAAGUCGGGAGUGAAAACUCGGGGCUCAACCCCGAGCCUGCUUCCGAAACUGCGAGUCUUGAGGACCGGAGAGGAAAGUGGAAUUCCUAGUGUAGCGGUGAAAUGCGCAGAUAUCAGGAGGAACACCAGCGGCGAAGGCGGUGCUCUGGGCCGGAACUGACGCUGAGGAGCGAAAGCGUGGGGAGCAAACAGG